rnacentral:lncRNA from 1 species
CUGGUGCAUCCCCCUGUCCUUUACCAGAUGCGCCCUCCUUGCCUUCUAGGGACAAUCAGCACUGAGGCAGGGGUUGCUUCUGUCCACAGAUGAGGACACAGAGGCUCCCGGCACACCGAGAAGCCUUGGAGUCGAGCCCCAAGGUCAUCAGCACUGCCCCCUGCCUAGCAGACAGUGUUGGGAACCGGGAGCCACUGCAUCUUCACUCAGUUCCUGGUCACCCCGUGGGCUCCCCAGAAGAGCACGCGUUCCGCGCUUGAUAACCAGCCCCCAGGCCACCCUGCCCUGCCGUCCCCAGCGCCCACAGAACACAUUCGGAAACCCACUGGGAGGAUUCUGGCAAGCAGCCGGCCAGAAGCGAGGGAGGCGCUCACGGCAAACAGCGCCCUGCUUAGCCCGUCUUGUGCUCUCAAUAGCGGCCGAGUGUUUCUAAGAAAAUGGAAAACCGACGCCCGAGGGAGGAGGAAGUCUGCUGCAGGCACGGCCCUCGUGGGCAGUGGGCAGCGACCCGUGCAGCCGACUCCGCGCGCGGGCACCAGGGCUGUCGCCGCGGUGGCAGGAACCAAGGAGAAGGUCCCGGGCGGACCGGGCUCGGCUUCGGAACGC